UACAGAGGUCCCAAGCGUUGUUCGGAUUCAUUGGGCGUAAAGGGUGCGUAGGCGGCGCGGGAAGUCGGGUGUGAAAUCUCGGAGCUUAACUCCGAAACUGCAUUCGAUACUGCCGUGCUUGAGGACUGGAGAGGAGACUGGAAUUUACGGUGUAGCGGUGAAAUGCGCAGAUAUCAGGAGGAACACCAAUGGCGAAGGCAGCUCGCUGGGACGGUACUGACGCUGAGACGCGAAAGCGUGGGGAGCGAACAGG
rnacentral:rRNA from 1 species